GCAGGAGUGAUGAGAAGCGCAGGGGUACGGACCUCAGCCGCUGAUGGGGGCUGAGCGCUGCUGCAGAGGCUGUCAGGAACAUGUGGUUCACUGUCAGACCAGCAGCAGCGUGACACAGACGCCACGCUGACCUGC
ensembl:snoRNA small nucleolar RNA SNORD94